UACGAAGGGGGCUAGCGUUGCUCGGAAUUACUGGGCGUAAAGCGCACGUAGGCGGUUUCUUAAGUCGGGGGUGAAAUCCUGGAGCUCAACUCCAGAACUGCCUUCGAUACUGGGAAACUUGAGUUCGGGAGAGGUGAGUGGAACUGCGAGUGUAGAGGUGAAAUUCGUAGAUAUUCGCAAGAACACCAGUGGCGAAGGCGGCUCACUGGCCCGAUACUGACGCUGAGGUGCGAAAGCGUGGGGAG
rnacentral:rRNA from 1 species